rnacentral:lncRNA from 1 species
GUCACCACAGUGGUGACCCUUCUCUCUGACUCAUUUCCCAUUAUGAGCACAAUUAGCGUGCAGCAUGUGUCCUGGGAGAUUAAUGAUCCGCUGGAGGGAAGAAAGAGGAACUUGGGGAAUGGAUCUGGGUGUAGUCAGAGCUCGCCUCUCCCUGGGAGCUGCCUUGGUGCUGUAAAGGAUCUCAUGUCUUUUGCCAGCUUUGAUGAAACUUGCUAGUUGGAAAGCAGAGUGAAAUCUCAGGCUCUACAACUCUUGACAUAAAGGACUGACAUCACAGGGCAACUAAGCAACUAGAAUUCCAAAGAAGGACAAGCCCCUCCAAAGACAGGAAGCAUGAGGGCAGGCUCAUCAGUGUCAGAGCAGGGGAGACCAGCACAGACACCUUACAAGCAGAAUGACCUUCUGUGGCUACAGAGAAAGGCUUCAGGCAAAGAGAUGCAGCUCUGGGCCCCAGAGUCCGCUGGAGCACACUGAAGCUGGAGCACACUGAAGUGGAAGAUGGGGCUGCAGACAGAGACUGGGCAGCCUCUGCUCCAGGGAGGCCCGAGAGCCAGAGAGCAGAUUCCAUAAGAAGAAUAACUCCCAUUCCUCAUGCAUGAGACCCUCUGCUAAAUGCUUCCUGUGCACCACCUCCAGAAAUCCUCCCAAGCCAGGACACCAGCAGUAUUACAGGAACUGGAUGACAAAAAGAAGAGCCGAUAUAACCAGGAACCUACUCUGGCCACCCCAAGUGCUCCGCAUCAAGACUCAGCUGCAGAGAUGACUUCAGUGCAAGUCACAUACACACCAUUGGGCUGGUACCCGUGGCAGCUCUGCAGGGCUUCCAUAUUGGUCAUGGAUUUGGAUGGUGAGAAGAGCUGAGACAGACGGCACAGGUUCUCAGGAUGCUUGAGGCAGGCUGAGCUCCACGAGCAGAGACCAGGCUGAUGCAUGCUCCACAUCUUGCAUGCUUUGCUUAAAGAAUGAGCGAAAGGAGUAAAUGAAAUUGGUUCUUUCAAAGCAACAAGAACAUUUGUGACAUAUCUGCUAAGGUGGUGAGGGACAAAGAUGAAGGACUGCAGAGCUGUCUCAUAGGCUCCUUUGAGCAAAGCAUUCCUCCUCCAGGUAAAGUGACAAAUGAAUUUGCUCAGACAACACUCUGCCUCCCGUGUUUUCCCAUAAAGUCCUCUUCACUGAAACCAUUUAGCAUCGUACAUCUAUCCUACAAGAAG